GGUCUCGUGGCCCAAUGGCAAGGCGUCUGACUACGACGAUCCAAGAAUACCAUCUUGGCUCGAAUCUGCAAUCAGGAGAUUCUGGGUUCGAUCCCCAGCGAGAUCA
rfam:Microdochium bolleyi strain J235TASD1 unplaced genomic scaffold Micbo1qcscaffold_4, whole genome shotgun sequence.